ensembl:lncRNA
AAUCAAUGGUAAAUUCCAAUACAACGGUCGGUGAAUAACGUUGGGAACUUGUAUAUAAUUGUAUGUUGCAUGUUUAGAAAAGAAUGAAGCUGGAUUAAGGAUUUGAAUAUGGCCUGGUUUUGGGGAAAACGGAGCACGCAUGUUUUUUGAUGAUGACGGGCGGAAAUAAAUAGUGAAAACGGUUAAAAGAUGGCUGGAAAAGAAAUUCUUAAUGCCAGGGGCUGUGAGAAUGAAGGUACACACGGUCUAUAGUCCUGUAGACCGUGUGUAGGACUGAAAAGCGAACUUCCGCAUGACUCGAGGAUCUUUCCACAAGUUGUGUGGAAUUAUGGAAGGAGUCAUGAAGCCCACGGAGGUGACUGUUCGAGCACCAGUACCGCUGUCCUCCAAGGCAUAGUGGACGACAUGUAUCGGUAAGUUUGGGCAAAAUACAUUUAGUUGUCUGCACUGUGUAACGUGAAUGCUUACUAACUGACAAUUAGUCAGUUCAAUUCACCGCAACCUCAGGCCUGCAUGUGCGUGUUUGUGUGUGUGUCCUGUGUCGCCUACAUAUAUUCACAUGUGUGUUACAGUGUGUCGUGUGUGCCAUUAAAACCUGACAAAUUGUUCUCUUUAAGCUUCUGGAGCAUCAGCUGUAAGAUGCCUGGGUGUGCUCAUGACGCUAACGUGUUCAGCCAGGCACACCUGUUACCAAAAGAACCAAGAGAAAUCGAUGGCGUCUCAAUCGGUCACUUCCUGUUGGGAGAUCCAGCGUAUCCUCUCAUGGACUGGAUCAUGAAAGGCUACACCCAUUCCCCAAAAUCACCCCUGAGCAAGAGUCCUUCAAUGUCUACUUAAGCUCUGCAAGGACCACGGCGGAGAUUGCGUUUGGGAGACUGAAGUCACGCUGGAGAGUUUUGAUGAAGCGUAGUGACUUCCACUUUUCAUUCACCUCUAAAGUGAUUGCUACCUGUUGUGCAUUGCGCAAUUUCUGUGAGAAUGAGAAGGAAGUUGUGAAUCCCAACUGGUCAGUGGAAGCAGCUACUGAUAAUCAAAAGUUAUUUUCAUGGGCUUAGUUGGGGGUUUGCUGUCUAGUCUUGAUUUAAGAGUUAGGUAAAGGGGGGUAAGCAGGAUCUGCCAAGCAGGCAGACACGAGUCUGACAGGAUGGGGAGUCAGUUUAUGUCCUGGCUGAGGAAUGUAAGGUCUGCGGGUCAACUAGAAGAUUUACCAGCCAAAGGGGGGUUAGAGACACACCAACACUAUUCAACAUACACACUCUGUUUACGAUGUUUACGUUAAGUCAGGAGUCUGGACAUUGGAUGUGACCGGAUCUUAGAUGCGGGAGGUGGAAGGUCCUCCUCUACGCCAGUUUAGGGCCAAUAGAAAUAUUUCCUUCUCUGUCUUUCAAGGGUUAUAAAACAUGCCUGAACUGCUCCUGCCUUUGCAAACGCAGCGCUGAUACUUGACCUGUGAUCUGACAAAUACAUUUCCCAGAACGAGAGAAGUUGUUCGGCUGAAUUUUUGAUAACCCCGACCAG